AUUGAACGCUGGCGGCAGGCCUAACACAUGCAAGUCGAACGGUAACAGGAAGCAGCUUGCUGCUUCGCUGACGAGUGGCGGACGGGUGAGUAAUGUCUGGGAAACUGCCUGAUGGAGGGGGAUAACUACUGGAAACGGUAGCUAAUACCGCAUAACGUCGCAAGACCAAAGAGGGGGACCUUAGGGCCUCUUGCCAUCGGAUGUGCCCAGAUGGGAUUAGCUAGUAGGUGGGGUAACGGCUCACCUAGGCGACGAUACCUAGCUGGUCUGAGAGGAUGACCAGCCACACUGGAACUGAGACACGGUCCAGACUCCUACGGGAGGCAGCAGUGGGGAAUAUUGCACAAUGGGCGCAAGCCUGAUGCAGCCAUGCCGCGUGUAUGAAGAAGGCCUUCGGGUUGUAAAGUACUUUCAGCGGGGAGGAAGGGAGUAAAGUUAAUACCUUUGCUCAUUGACGUUACCCGCAGAAGAAGCACCGGCUAACUCCGUG
rnacentral:rRNA from 1 species